UGGAGCAUGUGGUUAAUUCGACGCAACGCGAAGAACCUUACCAGGUCUUGACAUCCUCUGACAGUCUUAGAGAUAAGGCAUUCUAGCUCGGUUAGACAGAGAGACAGGUGGUGCAUGGUUGUCGUCAGCUCGUGUCGUGAGAUGUUGGGUUAAGUCCCGCAACGAGCGCAACCCUUAUUCUUAGUUGCCAGCACUAACGGUGGGCACUCUAAGGAGACUGCCGGUGACAAACCGGAGGAAGUGGGAUGACGUCAAAUCAUCAUGCCCUUUAUGACCUGGGCUACACACGUGCUACAAUGGCCUAUACAAAGGGUAGCGAAGCUGUGAAGUGGAGCCAAUCCCAAAAAGUAGGUCUCAGUUCGGAUUGUAGGCUGCAACUCGCCUAUAUGAAGUCGGAAUCGCUAGUAAUCGCGGAUCAGCAUGCCGCGGUGAAUACGUUCCCGGGCCUU
rnacentral:rRNA from 1 species